UCGGUCUUUCCUUUUCUUUGGUACAUAUUUGUAUGGCCGUCCGCGUUGUGCCUUUAAAUCUGGGGCCACAGAGCCGCAUUUUCUGAUUUGGGGGAUUUCAAGCUUUGAUAGUCUGUUUGUUUGUGUCAUUCUUUAAUGGCGACCUUUUUGGUUCAUAACGAUGCAAGUGCAAUCGCUUUGAUAAGGAUGACCUUUUUUAUUUCUCAUGACUUCAAUGAGCAAAUGGAAGUCAUGAGCAAAUGGACUUCAAAGAGUAAUCAGGUUUCCUAGAUCGUCAUGUUUUUUGGCCCGAAUAACACACGUAGGAAAUGUUUGGCAUGCAACACGCUGAAGUGGUUUUUGAAUCUUUUGGACAGACCUUAGUAAUCGGAAACAAGUGUUGAUAAGAAGUGUACUGAUCAUCAACUUGGAGGUUAAAGAUAAUCACGAAGAAGCUGCCACCGGUGGCAAGCUCACUUUGGAAUUAUGUCAAGAGGUAUGUAUUUUAUGCUAAGAUUUAUGUUUGUGAUAAUCUAUAUGUGCUUAAGAUGGUCGUAUCAGUGACAUCUGGACAUUGCCCUCUGUCUUAUGUUGAGUGUCUUAAUCUCGUAGUUGAAUUACUUCAGGUGCUGUACCUUAACAGAUACUAUGCAUGUCUCACUUUGCCCAUUGAAAUUAUGCAAUAUUCUCGCUUAGAUUCUUCAGAAUUUUGCUCGUCUUUCUUAUCCAAAUAAAAAAUAAUAAAAAGAAGAGGUGCAUCCUUAACCUUGUGCCUAUGCAAGGACAAAUGAUGUAUAUACUAACUUCUUAUGGACUCUUAUUUAAUUUGGUAGAUCUUCGGAACUACUUCUUUCUUAUGUCACAGAGUUAUGAUGUUUUCUCAUUUCACACUUUUAUUAGUCACUAUAUCACCUUUUCAGAAAAUUCUGGCCAAGUUUCCUUUGAGCCCUUUUGCCUUUCAUGUUGGUCCCAAACAAGCUUCUAAUUUUCAUGUAUAGCUAUAUAUGUUUGAUAUGCAUGUGACUACAAUCAAGGGUUCAAUUUUCAGAUGUUCUGUCCCAUGUUGAGUGAAAAUUGUUCAUCCUGUGGGGUUCCUGUCUGUUAAUUAUGAGGCUGUUUCAGUGAGAUACAACUUCUUGAUAGGUUCAGAGUAUUUUCGGUUAUUUCUGGCUUGUUUUGUCAUGUUUUGUUCCAUUUGGCAUUCUUUAAAGACUGUUUCAUUCAUUUUAAUUGAAUCAGCAUUUUAGUUGACUGAAAUAGAACUUCAAAGUUAAGAAGUACCAUUACCCGUUGUUUAACUUAAGAAUCAUUUUGGAAUUUGCAGCAAACAGGUUUAGAGCUUUGAGGUGUCAUUUGUUAGAUCAUGGGCACAACAGUCUGCUCUUUAUUGAAGUUCUCUUUCUCUUUUUCUUUGUUAUUUCCACUAUUGCGGCACAUUAACUGUAUCGACAGGUUGCAUGCCAAGAUGUAAUUCCUGCAUUGAACAAAAUUCCCUCAUACUUCAAGAACUUAAAACCAUAAAUUCAAUGUAAAACAAUCUUUUGAGCAGUGUCCACACAAAUAUUUAAAUAUCAAAUCACAUUGCCUUGAUAAAGUGACUUGUCUUGACCGAUGUGCACCUUAUGUAGCCAUACUUCUAAUCAGAUCAGGGUUCCCAUGACUUCUCUUUUCUUUGAAUACCCAUGUGGUUUAAUAUUCAAGGAACUAAUCUUACCUAACCUUCAACAGAUUUGUCCACUUGACAGAUCUGCGUUUACCUACGCACUUGAAUAGAAGGCGGGUGGUUCUUAACUUUGCAAUGCCUUACAUUGAGUGUGGGUGCUGGCGAUCAAGGUUGAUCAAUAAGAACUGGCCAACACUCAACACACCACCAAGCCAAUUCUUAACAAUUUGUUUACCUCAGAAGGAAAAGGGAAGCAAAGAACAUUGAUGGCUAUCACCUAUAGCAAUUCGACUAGGGGAAGGAGAAGAAGAAUACGAAGGAGAAAAGACAAAAAAAAAAAACCUAUGAACUGCAAUGUUGACUAUAAAUUGGGAAGAGACCACUUUCAACGCUUGUGGCCACCACCAUGUGAAACAAAAAGGAAAUGACAAUGAGAGAGGGGAUAAGAGUGAUGAGAACAGCUCCUAGCCUCAUGAAGGGAUAGGAAUGCUAUGACAUAAAACAUGACAGGAAAAGGGAAAUGCUACAUUUGAUCAAUUUCACUGUAGAGUUCUUUCUAUUUGAUAUUGCAUUAGCUAAUAUUUCAGAGCAAUGUUUCAAUUUUCGUUUUGAAGCUCAUAUCGGUCAGGCCGUCUGAUACUUAAUGGUAGGCUUCAAUUUUCAGUCUGAGACCCAUAUAGGUCGCUGGCUAAUUGAUAUGUGUUUGGUACAUACCAGCAUAUUAGCACAUGGUAUGCCAACGGACAAAUCUACACGGUCCAAAUAGAAAGAGGGAGAGAAGAGUGGAGGAGGACACUUGAAAUCUAGUUUUUCAAAUCUAAAAGAAAACUAAGUAACACUCUGUUGCAAAAGAAGACUUGAAAAUAAACCUAUUGUUGAUAGUUGUGGCUGUUCAGAACUCCAAAUUAAAGAAUAAAAAAUAAAAAAUAACUUUGUUUUGAAUUGGACAUGGCAAAAUCACUUUGUCCAGUUGCUGGUCCGAUCCAGUUGUCGGUCCUUGGUCGAUAAAUUCCAAUUUGUACAUAUUGGUUCGGCUGAUUUUCUGAACUUUGAUUCAUACUUCAUAGUGAUGGAGAUCGUUGAGGCCACAUGGGGGUCAUUGCUAUUUUUGAAAUUGUAGAUAAGUUUUUGGUUUUUGUAUGGCAUACAUAUAAAGGUUAUUUACAAUAAUAAUAUUUUUGUAUGAUAUCCUUUUAUCUUUUUUAUUUUAGUUCUUUUUUAAAGUUGAUCUUAUGGAAUGAAAGUGAAAAUGUCUUUUCACGUGUAUUUUAUUAGUUUCUGACGUUCACUUUCUGAUUUUUUGUAUUUUUUUACUACUUUUGUGAUUUUCACUAUGUUUGGAUUUUACAUUAUUUUCUCACCAAUUACAAUCUCAUUUAGGUGUUCUUCGUAUCUCACCAUUCUUGGUCAUAUCACCCUUUGCAAAUCCCUAUCUUGAUUCCGUGAACCUUGGGAUAUAGAUGGAUAAAGGAGUUGAGAAGUAGGGUAUUUAAGAUGGGGAGAUGUGUGCAGAGUUGAGAAGCUAACAGUGACUUCUUCAAAUGUUUAAUAUUGCACAGACAUGUUUAAGGAGACUUGUAAAGGAGUUGAGAAGCUACCAGUCACUUUAGUGUUCCUCGAGCAACUUGGAUAUUAAGGAGACAUGUUUAAUUGGUCAAUUCAUUAUCUUUGUUAUCUUUUGUUUUUCAAGAAUGAAAUUGGACUAGUACCUCAUGCUAGGAGACUUUAGAUUGCUGACUAGUACUUCAUGCUAGGAGAGUCUUUAGAUGUUAAGGUUCGUGGAGAAAGGAGGUGGCUCGAUAGGGAUAGUGAAAAUGAAUCUCUCGAUAAAUCAUGUUGAGAUUUGGCUUGUUAUUUUAACUAGCAGACUGAUUUGGUCUUGAAUAAAGAAAAAACAGGCAGGAUAUCAUUUGAACAAAAAUGAAAUCUUUUCUUGUGUGUGUGUGUGUGUGUGUGUGGAGAGGGAUCUGUCAAACGACAUUUUAUUUGCUCUCUUUUCACAGAAUGUCAUACAUGGACAAAAUAACAAAUUCUAGAGAGAGACAACAAAUCAAUGUAUUUGUUAAAAAUAAAUACUUCAGUUAAGAAGAAGAGAAACAAACGUUCUAAAGAAAUGUAGUGUGAAACUUGACUUCAUCAUGUUAUUUGCAGAAGAAUUCUUUUGGUCUGAAACAGGGAAAAGAUAAAUUAUACACUUUAAUUUCCCUUUCUGUUACUGAGUAUAACCAAGUUGAUCAAUUGCAAACUAAGCUCUCAUAAGUCAUCAGAGAAUUCAGAUGUGAAGAAAGACCAUUUUGAACAAUAAUAUGCCUGAAGAUAAGGCAAAACAUAUACAUAAUCAAUCCUUUAACAAUGUCCUCAUAUUUUGUUAUUUCAUGAUAUAUGAAAACUGCCUUACCGUGCAUGUAAAUUUGCCUAUCUCAAGUUAUUUCAAUGAAAAAUGUCAUGUUUGUAUUAGACAUCCUGUUCUUUAAUUUUCUCUUAAUAUGAUAUCUCAUUCGUCAUUUACAACAGUGUCUAUACAGUAAAUCACUGUCAGAUUAAAUUUCUUAGUAUAUGUUAAUCUAUCUUUUUUGGUAAAAUCUCUAGCUCUUUGACAAUAUUUCAUGUCUGGCAUAAUGGCCACUGAGAUUACAGAGUAAAUAUAAAUAAUUUCCAAGCCUAGUAAGCUACUUGAUCUUUUGCUUAUAUCAGUGGGAAAAUACUGGUGGAUGGUUACUAUUAUCUUCUACAUAGUAAAGUGCGCCUACAAUUAAAAAUUAUGUGAAAUCUAAUUUUCAUUGUUUGUGAAUAUGAAAUGGACAUCUGCAAUACCAUUUAGCUAAUAAGAGGUAUAUCAUGGUGUAGAUCGAAUCAGCAGACUGCUGGGAGGAUGCAAUUGAUGAUAUUGUUGCUGCAUUUGAGAGACAACAUAAGCGAAAACUUCUCUACACGAUCUCUUUCUAUUAGAUUUAAAGCGGACAUCUCAUUCUAUUAUAUUAGAUCCAAAGUGAAUGUAUUUUACUUGGUGUUCUUAGUCAUCCUAUGAGAAAAGUGAAACCCUACGUCGUGUCUAAGUAGUGUUGGUUUUCUGAUGGUAAAGAUUCAGAACAUAACCCCUUGCUCUGGUAGAGUUCAGGUGGGCAGAGGAAUCUGGUUGGUUUGAUGAGGUGAGUUCGAAUUUGUACUUUGUUUCUCAAACAAAAAUAAUAUAUUGUUCUUCUGGGGUUGACCCCAAGUAUUCAUGACAUGUUAAAUGUUUGAUCCACACCUGACAAGGCCAAGUGUUUCUCAAGUCAGACCAGUGCAAUUGCCUGUUAUCCAGUCUAAAUGAGUCAGGUUGACAGGUUCUGGUCUGUGUCAAUUACCAUAUGUUCCUUACAGUUUAUCUGUUUGUCAUCCAUCAUUAAAAUUUCACCAUGUUGUUAAGCAUUUGUGUCCAAAGUUACUGGAUUUGUUUUUGUUCCUCCAUUCUAUAUAUGACUAAUAAAUUAAGAUUUUGGAUUAGAUGAUGAUGUAUCAGAUGUGCAUUUAGUUAGAGAUCAGGGAUUUGAAAUCUUAUUUAAAUUCUAUUCAAAUUAUUAGUGUAUCAUGAUUUUUAUAUCUAAAACAUUAGUCUAGUUAUGAUGUAUCAAAUCUACUUAGGAUUAGGAUGAGGGUUUGAUACCAGUAGGCAUUGAGCUGCAAUUAUUGGAGCAUAAGAUAGUUGAUUGGACUUAUGAAUUGGUUUGUUGGAGUAUUGAAUUGUGUAUUUACAUAGAACUGUGUGUAUUGUAUAUACACAGAUUUAUAUGAUUUAUAUGAUGGAUUUUGGUUUGAGGUUCAAUUUUUUUAGGGUUUGAGUUGAUUCAAUUUCAAGUGACAAUUAGUAAAUAAAUUAAAAAAUAAAUAGUUGCAAAUAAGGCCUUAGAUGUGUAGCCAUCAUUGUUUCAUUGUAUGAGAAUUAAUCGACAUUUAAUUGGUAUCGUAUCUUAGGCAAGCACCAUCGCGGAGAGACUCUUAUAUUGUGAUCCUCGAGGGACUUAACCAAGCCUUCCUUAGUAAAGCGAUAUAUAAAAAUAAAAACUAAUCAAAAUUAAUUGAGAAAGAUGAGGAAAUUAAUCUUGUCGAUGUUAUAGGGUUAUUACCGACAACUGAAACUAGAUUGAAUCCGAGCGAUCUACUAAAUGAUGCUUUCAUUUGUAUUAUCUUUUGUAUGAGCAUGAUUAUAGAGUUACUCGACUAAAUAUUCUUGAGAAACAAAAUUUAUUCAAAUAAUUAAGAAAAUAAAAAAAGAGGAAAUGAAUUUAAAAUCAAAACCCUUUGUAUUAUCUCUUGCCCCAACGGAUUAGGCCGCAACUGUAUGAACAAAAAUUAGAUUAGACUUAAGCUUAACAUCGAUAUUUUCGAUCAAGUUUUAUCCGGUAUUAUCAUUUGACUAAGUCUCUUUCGAUAAAUCGGGUAAUAAAAUCGAAGAGAAAAUGAGUUUCAUCAAUGUAUUGGGAUUGAUUCGUGAAUCAAAUCCCUGAAAGAAUGUACAUCAUGUUAGCCCAUUGAGGAGGUCUCAAUGCAACAUCGCAUCCAGUGAUGAAAGAAAGCAUUCAGUCCUUGUUCUGAAGCUAGUCGGUCUCCAUUAUGAGAUCCUUGUGAUAUCAGCCAGUCCUUUUCUGAAGGUUAGUCUGUCACCAUUCUGAGAUCUUUGUGAUCGCAUUCUUACUCGACCGUCAGCCAGAAGAAGGUUUUCAUUCCACCGGUGCUCUGCAUCUUUUGCCACUAAGCGGCGAAAAGGAAUGAUGAUCUCAUGGCUUCUUUUCCCGGUGGUCCUUUGCAUCGCAAGCACAUCAUCGAUACAUUUGGGCGAGAUCUCAUACGGUCAUAGGAAUAGCUACAACAGUUCAGGUUUGUUUUUACGUGGUUAAUUGAUACAUUAACCUGUAUGUAUAUAUAUAUAUAUAUAUAUAUAUAUAUAUAUAUAUAUAUAUAUAUAUAUAUAUAUAUAUAUAUAUAUAUAUAUAUUCUCUAAAGGAUAAACGGAGAUUUGAUCUCAGUAUGUUAUUGUUAAUCAAAAUCUUUAUGAGCCAUGCUAAAUGACACCCUCAAAAAUUUAUGAUCUCAUGUUAUACUAUCACCAAACUAACUAAUUUUCUUAAUUUUUACUUACUAGAACUAAAUCGAGAAGUGAUCUCGUUGAGAUUUGGGUCAUUGGGUCGUUGGUCGGUCAAUUGAUCGAAUCACAUGUUUAAUAUAUAUAGUAAAAAUAUAAAAUUAAUUUAAAAAAAUAUAUUGUUGUUAAUAGUAAAAGUUUCCGAGUUAGAUUAGACGAUACCUUAAAAAUUUAUCAAAUAAGGUCUUAAAUUUUUAAUAUUUGAUAAAUAUAUUGUUAUGAUUCUUUUUCUGGGCUUUUGAAUAAUGUUUAUUGAGUUUGUUUAAUUCAGUUAGAAUCAAGUAGAGGUUUAUUUAAUAUUUAUUUAUUAUUAAGAAUCCAAAUCGUGAUGUACUCUAAGUGGAACUCUAUAAAUAGUGAUGUAACCUUUUCUUUAAAUCAAUCAAUAAAUAAAAUAUUAUUCCAAUUUGUUAUGACAAACCCUAGGAGAUCGAUCCCCUCAAAGCGAUCAAGGAGGUCGAUUCCAUCGAAGUAAUCAUCCUAUUUUCUUUUAUUUCUUCUAUUUCUUUUACGAUAAAACCUUAAGGUUCUAUCAUUUGGUAUCAGAGCAACGAUCCUCGGUGUUCUUGCUGCAAUUAUCAUCAUCUAAAAAAAAAAACAGAAAGAAAAGAAGGCCGACAGCUACACACGCAAUCGAGAACCCUUGCUUCCCUUGCUCCAGCCAAUGACCACCGCCGUCGCCGCUGCAAGAGCGACGAUUCUUGGCAUUCUCGCUGCAGUGUUGUCGUAGCUAUAAAAAAAAAAGAGGAAGAAGAAGCCACAGCCAUGCACCCCUGCUUCUGGCCAGCCCACCGUCGCUUGCCGCUGCAAGGUGACUCCACCGCUACCGCUACGCCCUGGCCGCUCGCUGUCGCUUGUUCACCGCCAGUCGCCUCCCACCCGAGCCACCACCGUUGCCUCCUUCUCCACCGCCGCCCGACUCCCCUAGGGUCGCAACCGCAAUCGCUCUACCUCCCCUCCUCGGCGAUCGUUGGUGACGCUGCUCCCAGCCGCGCCACUACCACCGCUGCCUCCUUCUCUACCAUAGCCCGCCUCCCAUUGAGUCGUAGCCGCAGCCACUAGACCUCCCCUCCUUGCAGCGACCAAAACAGGGUAACUGAGAAAGGGCCGCUAGCGCUAUUUCUGGCCAGCAGACCACCCCCUGGCAAUGCCUAGCCUCGACGCUCCUUUUCUGCUCCUCACCCUCGACGAUCUUGCUCCCAGCCGCACCGCCACUGCUGCCUCUCAACCCCGGCAACAACCUUUCCUUCUGCGAUGUGACAGAAACAGAGCCCUUUGUUGUCGCAGCCCCCUCGUCGAUCCUUGCCGCCGCCACUACUCCCCGGCCACCUACCUCCUCCUCUCUAACACCGCCGCCCCUGCUUCUCGACAGCCCGCACCCUUGCUGUAGCCCGUCGCACCUCUGCAUCAUUGUCGCAACCUCAACCCCCUUGCUCUACACCAUUGUCGCAGCCCCCUUGCCACCAUCACCGCUACUUCCCGACCAGCAACGUCUGCCACUGAUUCCUCUUUUCCACCGCAGCCUCAACCCCGGCCACUUCAACACCUCAACCUCCUUGCUCUGCAUCAUUACCGCAGCCUCAACCCCCUUGCUCUGCACCAUUACCGUAGCCCCCUUGCUCUGCUUCGUUGCCGCAGCCGUCGGUUGCCACCACUACAGCCUCAACCCCGACCGCUUCAAUGCCACCUCCCUCUUGUUCUGCCUCUGCUGCAGCAGUUGCCGGUUGCCAUCACCUCCUUGGGUCACAGCAAUCGCAACCGUCGCCUUUCAGCCUCAGCGCUCUCAUCUCACGCAACGACAGAAACACAGGGCAGCAACUCUUCCUUCGUCACAGCCACCACAGCGACGAGCCCUUGGUGGCGCUGCCCCCAACCGCACCACCAUCGCUGCCUCCCAGCCCUCAACAGCAGCGAUCCCUCCACGCAGCGACCACAACAAGCAUCGCUGCCUCUCACCAGUGCCUCCUUCCGUUGUGCGACAGAGACAAAGCAACGUUGCCUUCCAUCUACGCCAUCGCAGCCACCACAACGACGAGCCCUUGGCGAUGCUGCCUCCCAGCCCUCAGCAGCAGCAAUCCCUCCACGCAGCGAUCGCAACAAGCAUCGUUGCCUCUCACGCAGCGACCACAGCUACAUCCUCAUUCCCAUAGUGCUGCCACCGACUGCGUCACAACAGCAGCACUGAAUAGGGCAGUGAUUGAUGCCCUUGACCGGCAUAAAAAAAUGAAUUGAGAAUACAGAUUUGCAGCUAUAUGUAAUGGCUGCUAAUAACUCAGUGAAAACAUAAAUGGAAGCGUUGGAAACCAGAAUUGAAAAUUGGAAAAUAGAAGCAUUGGAAACUAGAAUUGAGAAUCGGCAAAUGGAAGCGUUGGAAAUCAGAAUUGAGAAUCGACAAAUGGAAGCGUUGGAAACCAGAAUUGAGAAUCGACUAAUGGAAGCGUUGGAAACUAAAAUUGAGAAUCGGCUACAAGCAACCCUUCAUGAUUUCAAAAAGAGCUUGUUGGAACACUUUAGCGGGUUUCAACAAGAUGGGAGCUCAAGUUCUACGUUGCACAGAUCUGAAAAUACAGGAAAAGGGCCCCAAGACUAUGACACAAACUACUCACACAUGAAGGUAGAAUUUUCGAGAUGGGAAGAUGGAGAUCCGACCAAUUGGAUCUCUAGGACAGAAAAUUUUUUUCGUUUUCACAUAACUCCAGAAGAAUCCAAGGUGGAAAUAGCCUCAAUCCAACUAGAGGGAGAUGCAAUCCAGUGGUAUGAUUGGUAAAAACUGUCAUGGAGUCUCCUCGUUGGAGUAAUUUAAGAGAAGACUUGUUAUUCGCUUUGGACCAUCUAAAUAUGAGAAUGUUGAUGGGCAGCUCGCCAAAAUUCAUCAGACUUCUACAGUGUUGGAAUAUCAAAACAGGUUUGAAAGAUUGUCAAAUCAAGCUAGAGAUUGGUCGGAACGAUAACUUUUGGGUACAUUUAUUGAAGGGCUUAAUCCGGAGAUUCGGUGUGAAGUUAAGGCUCCUCAACCCCGCACCAUGAUAGUUGCGAUUUCAUUUGCACGCCUGCAUAAGGAAAAAAUUAGCAUGGAAUAUCAUUGAAACAGAGAUGUCAAUAAACAAGUGAUCAGUAAGCAACAUACCCCAUCUACUCCCAAUCGAAAUCCUAACACUUGUAGACUAACCCAAGAAGAACUCAAGGAAAGAUCAGCAAAGGGUUUGUACUAUGAUGAAAAGUGGAGUCUGGAGCACCAAUGUAAACAAGGGCAACUUUUGAUGAUUGAGUCAAUUGGAGAGGAACCGGAAGCAGAAGAGUUGGACUCUGAUCAUAAAGGUGUGGAAGAUGAUGAUGAUAUUGAAGCCAUCACACAUACAGUGCAUGUUUUGGCUGGCUACGCUAACCCACAAACUAUGAAAAUCGGACGAACUUUGAAGCAUCUGCCUGUCACUGUUUUGAUUGGUACGAGUAGCACUAAUAAUUUUUUGGACAGGAAAGUUGCAGCCCGAUUAGCUUACCACAUUGAAGGCCGUGACAGAUUCAAAGUAAAGAUUGCUAAUGGAUGGAUUUUAACUUAUGAUAGCAAAUGCUCAAAGAUAAAAUUGAUUAUACAGGAGUUUCUUGCAAUGAUUACUACACUGAAAGACAGAUCUAUUUCUUACACCAGCAAAAAGUGGAUACCAUACUUCCUUGAUCAACGGGUUGUGAUGCGUUGCAGAUAGCCUAUGACUGAAGUGCUGAAAGAGAAGCUCCCCGAGUUUGAUAUUGCUCAGCAUUGAGGACAAUGCUGGUUUGAAGAGGGAGGAAUUGUUAGGACCCUUUUUCUGAGCUUUUGAAUAAUGUUUAUUGAGUCUGUUUAGAUCAGUUGUUUAUUGAGUCUUUUUAGUUCAUCAGAUAGAGGUUUAUUUAAUAUUUAUUUAUUAUUAAGAGUCCAACUGGUGGACUUUAGGUGGAACUCUAUAAAUAGUGAUGUAACCCUUUCUUUAAAUUAAUCAAUCAAUAAAUGAAAUAUUAUUUCAAUUUGUUAUGACAAACCUUAGGAGAUCGAUCCCCUCGAAGCGAUCAAGGAGGUCGAUCCCCUCGAAGUAAUCAUCCCAUUUUUUUUUUUUCAUUUUUUCUAUUUUUUUUACGAUAAAACCUUAAGGUUCUAUCGUAUAUCUAUUAUAUCAUCACUAGAUCAAUUUUUAAAAUUUAUAUUCAUAGAAUGAGUGAGGCUUUGAAUCCUCGACUUGAAAUAAAAUUUAUCAAAUAAUGUUUCGAACCUUAACCUUUAUCAAGUGAGUCUAAUAAAAUUUGAUGGUAUUUUUAAUGAUAAGACAAUCAUCUUAAAAAAGUUGUGUCAACACUUUCUCUAAAGCCAUAUGUUUAUUAUCCCAAUGUUAAUAGCUUCGAUUCCACAAAGAAAUGUUAUUUCAGCACUUGGUGUUGAAUUUUGUUAUUUUUAUUUUUUUUGUUUGAACAUCAUAAUAAUCUGAAUAAAUCUUAAUUAAUUAUCAGUGCACAAAAAAUAAAAAAUGCAGAUUAUCAUUUGAAGGACAAGAGGAUGAGUUGGUCUUUGAUGAGAAUAAUCCAUUUUGUGGUCCAUAAAUGAUGCUUUCUUGAAUCCAUGGACCCUCCUCCGUGUACGUACAAUCAUGUGAUAUGAACUUAAUAUUAGGUUUUAUGCUUUGCAUCCAAUGUAUAUAUAUGUAACAAAAUAUUGAGAUAAUAUCUUGAUUUAGUUCUGUAUCGAAAAAUGAAUGAAUGAUCAAAAUUAAGUGUAAGAAAUAUUGAAUUAGUGGUUAGUCAAGUCAACAAAAUGAUAUCCACCAAGUAUGAAUGUAAUUAGAUUUAUAAUCAUAAUAAAUUAUAAUUAUAUAAAAUGAUAAGAAAGAUUGCUUUAAUGAAAACAUAAAAGGAAGAGAGAUAUUUUUCUCACUAUUCCAACCGCCGGUCCAUUUGUUUAUUGGACAGUUAAAUGUACCUUUCCAUUAUGUCGGGAAGGUUAAAUGAACGAACGACGUGUUCAUUCGGGUGACAUCUAAAAAACCCAACUAUCAACUACUUUUCACCCACUCACAAAAAGAAAAAGAACAAAAAUAUAUAUAUAUCCAUCUCUAAAGUCUAUUUAUUUCUCGAAAUCUGAAUUCGGCAGGCAGGCAGGAAUUGUGAAUAGUUAAAGCUCUUAAUAUGUGAAAAGCCUAAAAAAUGUUGUGGAUAAGCCGAAAUGGCCCCCACACAUAAUUUUGUGGAUAAGCUCACGAAUUGACGUCCAAAUCGCUUUAUGUUCUUUUGGGCUUCGCUCCUUCUUCGUUGCAAUGAUUUGGUUGGAGGAUGUGAAGUCACCACAUAGACAAACCAUCCAUUAUUAUUUUUUUCCUUUUUGUGAUUUAUUAUUAUAUAAAUCAAUCGAUUUAUAUGACUUAAUCUUUUCUAGCUAGUAGAAAAAAAACUAAGCAUAUAUUUCAUGAAGAGGUAAACAAGCAGCAAGUAUCAUUUCAUGAUUAUAAGCAUCUUUACUAACAUCAAAAUGGGCUCCAUAGAUUUAUAAACUUUAACUUUCAUAGAUAAUAAAUAUUUUUCAUUAAUUAUUAAAAAAAUAAAUAACAAUAAUAAUAAUAAUCGAUCUUAGGUAAUUAAGAUCUAUCCCCGUGUAAGAUAAAGGACGGUUGAGAUUGGUGAUGAUGAGGGAGGACGGUCAAGAUGGGAACCGACGAAUCCGAGCAUCAACCCGAGCAUAUUCCCCGGACAUCGCCUUGCCGACAAUGCCCGUUUGUCCAUUUCCUGUGGGGCCCGCUCACAACAUCCCGCGCUUUUGUGGGUCGAAUUAAUAAUUCGCGCUCGGAUUAGACAUCGAUGGAUUUGGUCGUAGUUUCGUGACCGAAACCAGCCGACGUGUCUUCAUUCGUGCCUCGAGUGACAUCGUGCGCGUCGCGUCCCUCUCCGGGCCACGUGGAAUACUGGCCCCUGCCUUCGGUCCAAAGAAAGAUACCGACACCAUCACGUGGUGGGGCCCAACCACGUCCUAUUGGUCUCACCCUUCCGUUAGUCUCGGCGACGUGAUACUUCGAGACGCUCCACGUUCGUGACGGUCCUUUUAGACCCAUGUCACGGGCCGUCCGAUUAGAAGUCUAUCAGAAUCUAACGGUUCAGAUCGGAUUGAUGGGGUGACUCGAGCAUCCAUCUCCAAGUGUGAUUUCCCAACCACCGGAAGAUCACGGACGUCCACUCGGUCGACUCGGACGUGGGCCCCUUCAGCUUCGCACCGCUAUAUGUACCCCGCCCUCCUCCGUCCAUCUCAAGCGCACAGCCACCGGUCGCAAACCACUGUUUCAGUCUUACCUGCAAAAGAUGGCCGAGGAGAAGCACCACCACCACCUCUUCCACCACCACAAGGAGGAGAAGCCCGCGGAGGAGGUGAUAUACUCCGAGACAGCCUACUCCGGCGGCGAUGACUACGCCUCCGGCUACACCGAGACUGUCGUCGCCGAGUCGGCUUCCGAUGAGUACGAGAAGUACAAGAAGGAAGAGAAGCAUCACAAGCACAAGGAGCACCUCGGCGAGAUGGGCGCUGUCGCCGCCGGUGCCUUUGCUCUGGUAAUUCGUCUUGAUCAUAGGUUUCGGUUCUGCUAAUGAUCACCUACAAACAAUUUAAGUUGACAUUAGAACACAUGGCGAUGCAACAGUACGAGAAGCACGAGGCGAAGAAGGACCCCGAUCACGCCCACAAGCACAAGAUCGAGGAGGAGAUCGCUGCGGCGGUGGCGGUUGGCAGCGGAGGCUAUGCCUUCCACGAGCACCAUGAGAAGAAGGACGCCAAGAACGAGGCGGAGGAAGCGAGCGGAAAGAAGCAUCACCACCACCUCUUUUAGGGGCUGCCCUCUUUGAUCGGCUUCCAUGUUGUGCACCAAAUAAGUUCAGGCUGGCUUGUCAUGAUGGCCUUGGCUGCUACAAUAAUUGGGUGCAUGUGUUAUGUGAAAUAGAUUUGUGUUGAGUGUGGGAUGCUUGGUACUUUUGUUUUUUUUU
rnacentral:lncRNA from 1 species